GGUCUGGCCCGGAGCGAUACCCACGUUAGUUCAGUCAUUAUUGCCCAGAGCAGAAAUCGGUCUCCAGAAGAAAGUGUGGCCCAGAUGAAAGGUAUGUGCCACCAAGCCUUUAAUCCCAGAUGGCCUUGAACUCAGAGAUCUCUCUGUCUUAAUCUGGAAUUCAUAGCCACUAUGCCUCAAGAUCUCCAUGUCAAGAUCCAGGUCAGAAACUUGUAUAUCUCAGCCUCCAGAUUAGAUCACAGUCUUCUGCAGAUGCUGGUGCCAAUGCCCCAAAUACUGGAGGUGCAUCUGCACGGAGACCAAGAAAGGAGGAAGCAGAUGGCAGCAAUGAAGGACCAGCGGGCUUCCUCACUGGGGUCAGAAUGCUGCCGUGGGAAGGUGCUGACACUGGGCAUCUCCAAUGAGAAGCUGAGUACAUACAGGACAGAAGCUCAGCUCCAGCAGGAAUUACAGUUAUGCACAGGUCUAUUAACAACUUGCUGGCCUGGACCAAAAGCAGGGGUCCUAACAUGAACGGCACAGCUCCUGUGCCGACACUACGUCUCACUGAGCCCUUUCCCCCUACACACACCUCUUUCCUCUUUUUUACGAUUCAUUUACUCUUUAUCAUCCAUCCAGGGCACUUGUGUCCUGCCUCACCCCAGUCCCUUCAUCAAGAUUCAAGGACAGGAACAGGAGUUAUCAUCGUAAGGUCUGUUCCUGGGAUUCUCUUGAGUCUAGUUUAGUAGGUAUUUUAGGAGACUUCAUUAAGAACACAUACAUACUUUACUCAAAGGGCAGAGAAGGGCAGUUCAGUAAAGACUAACAUCUGCAUUUCCAGUGAGAGUUGUUUUUGGGACUCAUGACAAUUGGGUAGGAAAUACAGUAUAGUUUUUUACAGUUGGAAACUUUCUUUGCCUCACCUGGACUCAGAAAGGGGGUUUUAAAAUCCCAAAAACAUGGGCUGGAGAGGCUCAGAGGUUAAGAGUACAGUCUGCUGCUCUUCCAGAGGUCCUGAGUUCAAUUCCCAGCAACCACAUGGUGACUCACAGCCAUCUAUGAGAUCUGACGCCCUCUUCUGGCCUGCAGACACAGAUGCAGGCAGAAUACUGUAUACUAAUAAGUAAAUCUUAAAAA
ensembl:lincRNA uncharacterized LOC110319811